CCCUUAGAUGUUCUGGGCCGCACGCGUGCUACACUGAGUGGAUCAGCGGGUCAGGUUGCGUGAAAGUGUUUCCUAAUCUUUAAAUCCGCUCGUGAUGGGGAUUGACGGUUGCAAUUUUCCGUCAUGAACGAGGAAUACCUUGUAAGCGCGGGUCAUCAUCCCGCGCUGAAUACGUCCCUGCCCUUUGUACACACCGCCCGUCGCUCCUACCGAUUGAGUGGUCCGGUGAGGCUUUGGGAUCUGGGCGGAAAGAGCGUUUCGCUGUUUCUGCCCGGAAAACUCAGUCGAACCUUAUCAUUUAGAGGAAGGAGAAGUCGUAACA
rnacentral:rRNA from 1 species